rnacentral:rRNA from 1 species
AGCACUUUUGUCCGGAAAGACAUGGCUGUGGUUAAUACCUGGGGUCGAUGACGGCAGCGGGGGAGAAGCUUGCUUCUCCUGCCGGCGAGUGGCGAACGGGUGAGUAAUACAUCGGAACGUGCCCUGUAGUGGGGGAUAACUAGUCGAAAGAUUAGCUAAUACCGCAUACGACCUGAGGGUGAAAGUGGGGGACCGCAAGGCCUCAUGCUAUAGGAGCGGCCGAUGUCUGAUUAGCUAGUUGGUGGGGUAAAGGCCCACCAAGGCGACGAUCAGUAGCUGGUCUGAGAGGACGAUCAGCCACACUGGGACUGAGACACGGCCCAGACUCCUACGGGAGGCAGCAGUGGGGAAUUUUGGACAAUGGGCGAAAGCCUGAUCCAGCAAUGCCGCGUGUGUGAAGAAGGCCUUCGGGUUGUAAAGCACUUUUGUCCGGAAAGAAAUGGCUCUGGUUAAUACCUGGGGUCGAUGACGGUACCGGAAGAAUAAGGACCGGCUAACUACGUGCCAGCAGCCGCGGUAAUACGUAGGGUCCAAGCGUUAAUCGGAAUUACUGGGCGUAAAGCGUGCGCAGGCGGUUGUGCAAGACCGAUGUGAAAUCCCCGAGCUUAACUUGGGAAUUGCAUUGGUGACUGCACGGCUAGAGUGUGUCAGAGGGGGGUAGAAUUCCACGUGUAGCAGUGAAAUGCGUAGAGAUGUGGAGGAAUACCGAUGGCGAAGGCAGCCUCCUGGGAUAACACUGACGCUCAUGCACGAAAGCGUGGGGAGCAUACAGGAUUAGAUACCCUGGUAGUCCACGCCCUAAACGAUGUCAACUAGUUGUUGGGGAUUCAUUUCCUUAGUAACGUAGCUAACGCGUGAAGUUGACCGCCUGGGGAGUACGGUCGCAAGAUUAAAACUCAAAGGAAUUGACGGCGACCCGCACAAGCGGUGGAUGAUGUGGAUUAAUUCGAUGCAACGCGAAAAACCUUACCUACCCUUGACAUGCCACUAACGAAGCAGAGAUGCAUUAGGUGCUCGAAAGAGAAAGUGGACACAGGUGCUGCAUGGCUGUCGUCAGCUCGUGUCGUGAGAUGUUG